GAUGAACGCUGGCGGCGUGCCUAAUACAUGCAAGUCGAGCGAACAGACGAGGAGCUUGCUCCUCUGACGUUAGCGGCGGACGGGUGAGUAACACGUGGAUAACCUACCUAUAAGACUGGGAUAACUUCGGGAAACCGCAGCUAAUACCGGAUAAUAUAUUCAACCGCAUGGUUCAAUAGUGAAAGACGGUUUUCCUGUCACUUAUAGAUGGAUCCGCGCCGCAUUAGCUAGUUGGUAAGGUAACGGCUUACCAAGGCAACGAUGCGUAGCCGACCUGAGAGGGUGAUCGGCCACACUGGAACUGAGACACGGUCCAGACUCCUACGGGAGGCAGCAGUAGGGAAUCUUCCGCAAUGGGCGAAAGCCUGACGGAGCAACGCCGCGUGAGUGAUGAAGGUCUUCGGAUCGUAAAACUCUGUUAUUAGGGAAGAACAACUGUGUAAGUAACUAUGGACGUCUUGACGGUACCUAAUCAGAAAGCCACGGCUAACUACGUG
rnacentral:rRNA from 1 species